UUGGAGGGCAAGUCUGGUGCCAGCAGCCGCGGUAAUUCCAGCUCCAAUAGCGUAUAUUAAAGUUGUUGCAGUUAAAAAGCUCGUAGUUGAACCUCGGGAUCAAUGGGUCGGUCAUGCCCUCGGUAUAUACUGACCUCAUUGGUUCUCACCUUCUAAGGAACCUUAAUGUCAUUAAUUUGAUGUUUUGGGGAAUUAGGACUGUUACCUUGAAAAAAUUAGAGUGUUUAAAGCAGGCUAACGCUUGAAUACAUUAGCAUGGAAUAAUGAAAUAGGACAUCGCAUUCUAUUUUGUUGGUUUCUAGGAUCGAUGUAAUGAUUAAUAGGGAUAGUUGGGGGCAUUAGUAUUCAAUUGUCAGAGGUGAAAUUCUUGGAUUUAUUGAAGACUAACUACUGCGAAAGCAUUUGCCAAGGAUGUUUUCAUUAAUCAAGAACGAAAGUUAGGGGAUCGAAGACGAUCAGAUACCGUCGUAGUCUUAACCAUAAACUAUGCCGACUAGGGAUCGGAUGAUGUUGAUUUUUAAUGACUCAUUCGGCGCCUUACGGGAAAC
rnacentral:rRNA from 1 species